ensembl:rRNA 5S_rRNA 5S ribosomal RNA
AUCCCCAGCCAUACCACCCUGAAAGCAUCCAAUCUCGUCUGAUCUUGGAAGCUAAGCAGGGUCAGGCCUCAUUAGUACUUGGAUGGGAGAAAAAUUCAGUAUAGAUA